GGGGGUGUACUGGUUUCGACGGGGGUUCUGAAGCGCAGUAAGCGGGUCAGGCCGGGCAAUCCUGUAAAAGGCCCAACCUAAAAAAUUAAACGACAACAAUUCUGUUGCUCUGGCGGCGUAAGCCGCGCCGCGGCGCAUAGCGCCGCCCGUUCGCCGGGGAGGACCACGAACCCGGAGUGAGCGUCAUGAAGUGGUAACCGUGAACCGGGGUUUCGCCAUUGAACCGGUCAUGCAUCAAAUGGCUGCCGUUGCCUGAGUUUGUCCCCGGACGCUGGCAACGGGAGAUCUGAUCAGGGACUACACCCGUAGAAAGCCGCGUGGACGGAUUUUCGGACAGGGGUUCGACUCCCCUCAUCUCCACCA
rnacentral:tmRNA from 2 species